UGUUCCCUUCUUUGUACUCCCCUAGAAAGCAAACAAGAUAUUUUUACAAGGUGCCCAAGGUUGGUGGAUGCCUUCAAGUAACGUCACUGAAGCCAUUCCCUGUUACUGGCAGCAGGACAGGGCUUGCUGGGAUACAAUCCGGAAACUGGAACUCCUUCCAUUCAGCAGCUUGCAUCAGAGAACAAGUGAGUUUGGAUCCAUCAGCGUGCAAACACUGGGCCUUGAGAAAUAAGGCAACUUUCAAGCAAUGAGGCCCUUCUGUUUUUUUAUAUUUUUUGUAAUGCUCCUGGCGUCAUCAGGGUUUGCUACCAAUAUUCACAGGGCUAAGGACUGUAAGGUGGCCAAUGGCAUAUGCAGGCUCUCAACGUGCAUGCAUUAUCCUUGGGAACGCAUUGGAAAAUGUGGAGACAAAAGGGUUUGCUGCAUAAGAAAAACCAGAGAGUAGCCAUAUCACGAGGCUCCUGAAGGACAGAUCUGGAUUAAUCAUGCUUUCAACACUGCUCUAAUGUGAUUAAGUAACAAGCUUGCACACUGCUUUUGAAGAAAGAAAGAAGUGACCAACGGGAGACUAAGUAAAAAAUUAUCUUGCUUCUGUUUUGAAUAAAUUAUUUCAUUUGCUUGCCUUGGAUGGAAUAGUAAGAUGAAUAAAGAAUAAUCAGCU